rnacentral:lncRNA from 1 species
CGGUGGAGGCACGAUGGACGUACAUUCAUCAAACCCCUUUUUGUUCUUUGUACAGACCGUGCUUGCCAUCACCUUGAUUCCCUCGUCAGGCGACACACGUGUCAACCGCACUGGGCCGGAUGCGACGGAACGUAUCUUCGACUGGCACAUCGAUACACAGAAGAAUAAUGCAGCUGAUCUGGACAUGCGCAUCUGUACUGCACCAUUCGGAAGACUACUGGCGCCACCCUCGUCGACGUCAUCGUGUGCAUCUGACCGUGCUUGCCAUCACCUUGAUUCCCUCGUCAGGCGACACACGUGUCAACCGCACUGGGCCGGAUGCGACGGAACGUAUCUUCGACUGGCACAUCGAUACACAGAAGAAUAAUGCAGCUGAUCUGGACAUGCGCAUCUGUACUGCACCAUUCGGAA